rnacentral:rRNA from 1 species
GACGAACGCUGGCGGCGUGCUUAACACAUGCAAGUCGAGCGGUAAGGCCCUUUCGGGGGUACACGAGCGGCGAACGGGUGAGUAACACGUGGGUGACCUGCCCUCAGCUCUGGGAUAAGCCUGGGAAACCGGGUCUAAUACCGGAUAUGACUCCAUGACGCAUGUUGUGGGGUGGAAAGCCUUGUGCGGCUGAGGAUGGGCCCGCGGCCUAUCAGCUUGUUGGUGGGGUGAUGGCCUACCAAGGCGACGACGGGUAGCCGGCC